rnacentral:lncRNA from 1 species
UCUAUAGCUAAAGUAUGCAUAAUCACCCCAUCCGUUUUCACUAUCCAACCCCAAUAUUUGAUACAAAUUAUUAUAGAUCAGAAUGACUGAAUUACAUCAGAAAAAGUGCAAAAAUAAGAAGUUACAACCAUAGGAAACAUGAUUCUUACUUCCUCUCUGAGUUAUGUAAUAAACCACCUCAAAUGCCAAUGUUGUUUAAAAGCCUUUCUCAUAUUUGGGUGUGUCAGAGUUCCCUAAUGACCUAAUGGGAUCCCUGGCAGUGCUCACCCAAUUUUUCAUAACCAGAUAGAGUGAGUGCAGUGUAGAAGAGCCAGCCCUUAUGUGUCCAAGUUCAGAGGGAGCUCAAGGGUCCAUUUUUUAAGAUAAUUAGUAGAAGAAGUGUUUGAAAUCAAUUGGGGGUAAUGAACAAAAACUCAAACACAUAGAAUCUGUAGUCACACAAAGGGGUCAAGAGGUUUUAGAAACACAUUGCAUGAAGCAUAUGACCCCUGUAGGCGUCAGGUUUAGUCAUGCACAACAAUAGCUGAUGCUGGCAAGCCUACAAACCAACUAGAGAACACAAACACAUAGAGAGGAUAUGGGGGUUUGGGAUUCAUAAGUCAGAAAACACAUAACAAGUGACUGGCAGAGUACAUACAUAGGGGUAUCACUAAUUUAAAAGGGGAAAUGAACAUAUUACAUCAUGCUAUUAAUGUAACUUGACUGCAGAAAACAUAUAGCAAAAGUAGAAAAGAAUGAGAGAAAUUUGAACAAUUAGAGAAACAUGUUGUUGUUGAGGCUAAAAAAUAACUAGAACAUACCAGUAGAGAAGCAAAGUGCAGAAAGGUAAAGUAAUCAAGAUUCCACAGUCUAGCCUUGGCUUUCAGCCGGUUAGACAAAGCAGUACCAUACGUAGCAGUAAAGAAAGAGAGAGUUUUUGAGUGGAAGUGUAUGUUUUGAACUCAAAACUGUUCGUGUAUUUGAAAGAAGAGAGGUUUGGUAUUUUUAGUUUUAAAAACGAGUGAAGCAUAAGGUAAUAAUUAAAGUCUUAACACAAACAUGAAAAUAAUCACAAUCAGAAUUAAUUAACACAAGUGAUUCCCUUUAAUUAAGGAUUCACUGCUAAACGGAUACUAAAAGAUUUAAUUAAGGAAAGAAAUCAGCUUGAGACAGAUUAAUUAUUUCCAUAUAAGGGGCAGUAAAAGCAUGAAGUAAAUAUUCAAGUCUAAGUACAAAAUAUUCUUAGUUUUAGGAAAGGAUUUAGCAAGGUAAAACAUCACAGUAAUUAAAGGAGGGGAAUCAAUUAAUUUAAACAAAUGAAUACAAUUAGGGUUCAUAAGAAAACCAUUUACAAUCAUACGCAACAUUAAGGGAGUCAGAAUCAAUCAAGAAAGGGUCAAGAUUCUGCAUCUCAACUUAUAAAUAGUAAGGAAUGUACCGGCAUACAGAGUCAAACGUGUGGUCAACACAAACGUACAUUACCAACAGGCUAAGCUAGGAUUCAGUAGUAAAAGAAAACUAUUCAAAGCAUAGUAGUCAACAAGGUCAAGUAGUCAUGCAGAAUCAAAAGUGAAGAAAGCAUAGUAACAGGUAAAGAGAGUCAAAAACAAGUAAAGCUCUCAUAGUAACAAGUGAGGAAAAUCUAUUUUAAUAAGUUAGGGAUUCGACCGUAGUCGAGGUUAAAAGAUGAUAAGAACUCAAAAUCAGAUAAGUCAAACAAAGAAAAGAACUUAAUUGAACAAGCAUACCCUCAAACAACAAGGAUAGUUUCCGAACUCGGAUAAGACCAAAAAGAACUAGGGUUUUCAACAUGCUGAAUUAAAUAGAAGGAAAGCAUAAACAAGUUGUUUGAAAAUACUUAAAUCGUAAAAUAACAUAAAAAAUCAGAGAAGAGAUCUUUAAAAACAAUAAAGUAAAGAGAAACCCUAAUCGUUGAAAAAUGAAGAGUCAUUUUUAAAGAAAAUCGAAGAACCUUCAGGAAAACACUUAUAAAGUUUAUAAUAAGCACAUAUCUAAAAUAAAUCUGGAAGAAAAUUGAAAGAUCUUUAAGGUUAGGGUUUCAGAGAACCCAGAAAAAGGGAGAAAGACUUUGAAAGGUUACCGAUCUAGCCGGAAAGGUCAAGGAUCUGCCUUGAACAACCAUGGAUGGCCUGAGUAAGACCAGAGACGGAGGUUGAGGAAGGAGUUGACCAUAUCUCUUUGAGAUCUGGCCAUGAAAUCACAGAAACAAACACCUAGGAUCCAUAGGAGGCCGAUAGACAUCUCAAAUAUCCAUGAGAGGCCAUGGAUUAGGAAGGGAUUACGGUGGAUUAGGGUGGAAUUAGAUGGCGGCGGCCAGGGUUGAUGUGAGGUUGCAUAGAAAAUUGAAAAAGAAGGGUUGCAAAGGUGACAGAUGAUGGGAAAUGAGUUAGGGUAAGAGGUCAUAUAGGAUUAUUUUAGGAAGGGUGAACGGUGG